rnacentral:siRNA from 1 species
AAGCCAUAACACAAACGUACUAGG